UUUUUUUUUUUUUUUUUAAAUUUUUUAUUUAUUUAUGAUAGUCACACAGAGAGAGAGAGAGAGAGAGAGAGAGAGGCAGAGACACAGGCAGAGGGAGAAGCAGGCUCCAUGCACCUGGAGCCCGAUGUGGGAUUCGAUCCCGGGUCUCCAGGAUCGCGCCCUGGGCCAAAGGCAGGCGCCAAACCGCUGCGCCACCCAGGGAUCCCCCACUCAAUUCUAUUACAUCAUACUGUUCAUACGCCUUGAGAACCACCACAUGCAAUUCUACUCUGUACUUUGCUACUUCCUUGGUUACGACCACCAGGAGCUUGGGGAAACGGCAUUCCCAGUCUCAGCAUUGUUACCACGGGACUCACACUGGCCGGGACUCACACUGGCCAGGCCGGUAGUUUCCUCUCAGAAUGAUGUCAUUGUCAACUACUGUGUUCAUCCUUCCUUCUACUCUUUUCAGUUUAACUGCUUCCAUUAACUAGAAGACCUAUGAAUUUUAUACAAGGUAGUACAGAGGUAAAAAAAACUCCUUCCUGCCCAAGGAAAAAAGCUAGAAAAAUGACUCAAAAAUCAAACUACUGUUUAGAAUAACAGAACAAAUGAAACAACAAAAAUGGUGGAUUAUGGAAUAGCUAAAGUCUAAUAUGUGAAAUAUGUGGAAAUACCUGGUUUUGGUAAAAUAGAAACAUCUAACUGUGAGAACUAGCCUACUGAUGAAAAACUGAAGGAAUGGACUAAAAGAGACAAGUUAUGUGUCAUUUAUCAUCUCCAUUAAUACUUCAUAUAGCAAUUACAAAACACAAGCUCUAUAAAGGACUCCUUUUAAUUGUUAUUUUUUUUGAAGUAUUAUCUUCUCUCCAUUGCUACUAUUUCAAAAAGAAAGUAAAGAGUUAAGUAUCUACAGACUAGGGAAGUAAAUUUACAGUACAGAUUCAACUACUUAUUCACUGGCAUAAUAGACAGGAAAUACAUGUUGAAAAAAGUUCUAUAAAUAGAAAAUAAAUUGAAACUGGAUUUAAAAAAAAUCCAUUCUAAGAUAUCCUUUUUAUCUCUCUCUUUUUAAUGUAAAAUGUACCCUUAACCAUUCCAUAUACCCUCAACCACUGAGUCUAAACACUACAGUAACAAGAGAGAUUUUCAAGGUAGCUGAAUAAAGUUAAAACUCUGCAUCCAUUAUAUCCUUAGCUUAUUCCUUUAUCCUUCAGGAAAAGAUUUUUUUUUUUUUUUUUUUAAAGCCAGAAAGUAUCAAACAAGCUAACAGAUGGCAAGUGAAUUGAAUCAAGUCUAAUUUGGGUUGAAUUCAAGUUUGAUUAUCUGGAGACAUGAAAGCAAUUUACCCAUAUUAGCAUCAAAUGCCUAAUACUGAUAAAAAUGUUAUGGAAGUAUGAUCCAACAGAGAGCUUUGUGGACUGGGAAUUAAGAGCAUCCCACCCCACUCCACCCCACCCUGGCUAACUAGUUUUAAAACUUUGGCAAAGUCACAGAUUCUUUCCACCUCAGGAUCUUUUAUCUGUCUAAUGGGAUGACAAAUCCUCCCUUGUAGGAGAUGCUGAGGAUAAAGUGGAAUCUCUGAAAAAAAUUCUCCUUUUCUGGGUGUGAGGGUAGAAAAAUGGACCCACAAAACAUUCACAUUCAAAUCCCGGGAACUUGUGAAAAUGUUACCUUAUAGAGCAAAAGAGGCUUUGCAGAUGUGAUUAAAUUAGAAUCUUAAGAGAUUAUCCAGGAUUAUCUGAGUGGGCUCAAUGUAAUAAGUAACAAGCGUCCUCAAAAGUGAAGGGGUGGUUGUACGAGGUCAGAGUCUGAGUGACUUGACCGGCCACUGCUGACUCUGAAGAUGGGAAUGGGCCACUACGGCAAGGGCUAUGGGAACCCUCUAGACGCUGGAAAAGGCAAGCAAAAGAAUUCUCCCUUGGAGCCUUCAGAAGGAAUGUAGCCCUGCCAAAACCUUGAUUCUAAUGUCAGAUUUCUGACCUCCAGAAAUUUAAGAUAGUAAAUCUGUGCCAUUUUAAACAACUUAGUCUCCUGCAAUUUCUUACAACAGCAAUAGGAGACUAAUACAUGGAGUUCUAUCUCAGCUUUGACACUUACCCUGGCUAUGUAUCCUUAAACCAGUUACUUAUGUUUCUGAACUUUAGUUUCCUUAUCUGUAAAAUGGAGAUUAAAAUGAGCAGGUUGCUAAUAUAGAUACAAUAUUAAUUUAAUAUGUAAUUAUAUUAAUAUAUACAUUUAUAUAUCAAAUAUAUGUUUAAUAUAGAUAUCAAAUAGGUUAGGUGCUACUGAUUUUUUUAAAAGUUAGCUUUUUUAUUUUUAACCACUUAUACUACCCUAGAGUGAUAUAAUGUAAUUAUUUUUACAAAACCUACAGGUAACUCAUAGUUUUCAUAUACAGAAGAAAUGUGCAUUAAAGUACCCAGUUAUCACUAAAGUUAUUGGUAAUAUGUUGAUUUGGAAGUCACUGGUUCAUUCUCAUAGACUGUAAGACUGAAGUUCUUUUAGAUCUCAAAGUUUCCAAAGGGAAGAAGCAAUAUGUGUGUAAAAUGUUUUAAGCCCAGCUUCUGUAACCAGUGUAAAGUCAACAUUGCAUUGAUUUCAUCCUUAGGUUAUUUCUUUAUCCUUUAGGAAAAGGUGAUUUUUAUGCCCCCCCCCCCCCAAAAAAAGUUCUUUUUUAGUAUUUAAAAUUUAAAGACAGGAAAUUUUAAGAAGACAGAUCACUAUAGUCCCACCUCUUUAUUUUACUACUAAAAAAAGAGUAAUUCACAAGGAAGUUAAAUGAUUUGGUUCAUCAUCAAUAUGCAGCCAGUUCACAUCAGAGAUGGAUUUUCUACUUCCUGGGUAGAAAGCUUUUGGGUUUUCUACUUCCAAAUCUGUGCUAUUUUGUUAAAGUAGGAAUCCGUAAUAUGGCCCAUGGGUCACAUCUAGACAGCCAACUGUCUUUUUGUAAAUAAAGUUUUAUUGGACACAGGAAUACCCAUAAUUUGCUUAUUUUCUACAGCUGCUUUCCUUCUACAAAGGCACAACUGAAUAGUGGCAAUAGACUGGGCCACCAAAAGAGGUGUUAGGUGGCUGAGCUAGGAGUUUAGGUCCGGCUUCUCAGUCUCUAAAAUUCUCUUUUUGUUACUUUUCCUACAUUUUAUAACAUUUUCAGAUUCAAUUAUCUCUUUUGUAUACUUCAUAUAGCACUAUGUGUCUCAGUGGAGUACAUGUUCAAAAAUGUUGGAUUCAAAGCUGUUUUUGAGAAAAUUAAAAACUGGUCUUCCUUCAGGUACUUUCCAUGGGGGAAGUGGAGUAGCCCUAAGUUUGGACAAAAAGAUAAAUCAGGCUCCUAAAGAUUUUACAAAUGGCAAUUUUGCCAUUUAUACAAGUCUGUCCCCUAGAUUGUGUGGAUUUUCCCUGGACUCGACAAUACAGAAUACAGGCAUAUCUGAGACUCAUGAGAGAAUCUGAUUAAAAAUUGAUUAAAUACAGUUUAUUCUAAAAGUCUGCUUGCUGCUAUCUGACAGAAGUCAAAUAUUUUAGUUACCUGUUCCUUUCAGUAAACUCUCAACUUGUGUGCAGAUCAUCAAACAAACCAGGGCAAUGUUAUCCCAAAAGUCCUGUGAAAAGGUCAUCAAUGAAUUCAAAUUUAAUGUUAUACAUCUGGCUUUUUAUAGAAAAUAAUAUGAGAAACAUCUAAUCAGAGAACAUUUUUAGUUCUUUUACAAAGUACCAAACUGAGUUAUUUCAGUUGUCCCAGUGUCCCUUCAUCUAAUAUCUCCUAGAGUUUAGUGCUAGCAAAAAUAAUUUUUUUCAUUCAUCAGCAAUGAGAUACUUUUUUUUUUUUAAUGAGACACUUUUUAAAGGAACACAUAAACUUGGAAUCUGGGGUGGGGGAGGAAUUCAUUUGUUGUUUAAAGGAAACUGCGAGAGAUCAUAAUUCCCUAUGCUGAAUGUAUUUCUGAAGUAUACAUUUGCAGUAAAAAAAAAAAAAAAAAA
rnacentral:lncRNA from 1 species